UACAGGAGCGAAAUGGCGUAGCUUUCCUCCGACAGUGGAAAACGCGGCCAAGCCUGGGGGUGGGGGGCAAGCCUGGCCGUGCUGCCCCAUAGACAGACAUCGAGAGGAUGCACUACAUGUCCCUAUUAUCCCUUUGACAAACAAGUGAAGCACCAGCGGGAGCGGUUUGACGAACUCGUUUCAUUUCCUGCCUUUCUAAGAGAACGAUUUGGCAUACAUAAGACUUGAGCAUACCAAAAACCAUUAUCGGGUCCGCUAAACUGUUACCCAAUCUUCCCAGUCGGAGUAAUGAGGGCUGCUUCGGCGCUCAAGUCUGGACACGUCGCUGGCGCCCCUACCCCCCUCCUGUUCAUUCAUCCUCCGUUCUCAUGGGGGCGUCAACUGCAAAUCAUUUAUCUCAAAAGUCAAGUAAACAAGGCCUUCUUCCGUUUACAGUUUGUAUUUAUGAGAACAAUUUGGAUACUAAAAAUGUUUUUAUUCCACUACUUUCCUUUUAACUGUCAUUAACUGUUCAUUAGAUAACCGCAGUACUGGUACUCCCCAAAUAUUUAAUAUGUAUUGGCUCCACACCUUUGAAUAGUUUCAAGCCCAGAACCAGGGUUGCUAAUUUUAUUCUCAUAAUAGCUAACAUUUACAAGAAGAACAUUCCUACAUCUGUCAGUACAUAGACAACAACAAUCCACUAUAUGUGUAACUUUAUCUUGUGUAUUUGGUGACUUUUUUUACUCCCAAGCUGUUUCUAGAAAGAACAGACAAACUUCUACUCAGUACUCUACUACUUCAGCUAGGAAUUCAGUGCUCUUCCCCUUAUGGAUUGCUAGAGGAAUAGUCUUAACUUGGAUUUGAUGGAAAUUCUUGCUCUUUGUCCAGUUAACCUGUGUAAGUUAAAUGUGGCAUGUACAUUAUGGAAUUGUUGAAAUAAGGAAGAUUUAAGUCCCUUGUGUUAAAUUGUGGUCACCAGGUUUUCUUUUAGAUUUCCAAGACUCAAACUGAAUGCUUAUUAGAGUUAUUUUUAAAAUUUGUGCAUUGGCUAUGCUAACAUAACAUCUGCAAAUGUGAACCAUGUUGUUCAUAAUUUUGAGCUGUUGCUCCGAGAAAGGAUGUAAAGACCCAGGAACAGGCGGAGGGAAUUAUUUAUAUUAUGUGUACCUGUAUGGGUACAGUGGACACAGGAAUGUGUUUCUGGCACAGAAAAAUGGACAGACACAACUCAUCCCACUUAGCUUUAACCUCCUUAGCUAAGCAAUAUUAAACAAGCUGCUUUAUUCCUCUUUUUCCUGUCAAAAUAUAUUAGCUCUUGUUUUACUGAAGGUACUUUGUAUGGACAUGCUAGUGUUUUUGGUUGUGCUGUCUUGGAAGGACAAUGUUUUGAGAACUGCAUUUACAGGCAAAGUCAAUUGUGUGUUGACAGUAUAUUUAGCAUCUUUGUAAGAUUGAAGACUUCCUUAGGAGUGGUUGUAGGAAUCCGGUGAUUUCCCACUAUGUUGUGUACAUCUUACAACCAAGUAAUAACUUGCUCAACUUUAACAUUGUUUGACAGAAGCCCUAUGCUACAUAAUUUUUUAAUUAGAAAGCAGAUUAGAGCAAAAUUCAGACUAUUAUCAAGGUUAUGAUUCCCACUUGGGAGUUGGGAGGUUGGUACAUGGCUGACUAUCACCAUCUGAAAUACACUGAUGGAUAGUACCAAACAAUAAUAAAAUAAAUACAGCAAGUGAGUUGUGUACUCCUGUUUGAGACUGAGGACGUUGGAGCUCCUGGGUACAGUGCCCAGGAACAUGGGAUUUGUGCAAUAUGCGUGCCCUAUUCUGUCCUGUUUUGAGAUAAAUGUGUAUAUUGUACAAACAAGUGACGAGUUGUUUGUGAAGAAAAAAAACAACAAAAUCACCAAUGUCUUCCAUUAAAUGAUGUAUAGAUUCAUCCGCUUACUUUUACUGUAGCGGGAUUUGUUGUGCCAACGUUACAUGUGGCCAUGCAUGAGUGGACGUGAUGCUUGCCGAGUAAAGUAGUUGUAGUUGAAAUACAGUAUAUACGUUAUAAUUAAUGUUAGCAUAAAGAGUUAUGCAGAUAAAGGGUUAGGCUAGUUACCACCGUGCAUGUAGCACCCAUCCCUCUGCUAGUUUUGAGAGUAGGGAACUCGGGAUAGCGAUGGGUGAAUCCAAGACCUGAGAAGAGGGGUCUGGGUUUGUGGAAAGAAAAUUAAUGUUUUAUUUGUCAUCACACAACAGCUGUGUUCUUUCAUUAGCUAGUGUACAUCAUUUCCCCUAAAUCGAAAAGAACCUUCAUCUGGGCAAGGUAGUAGCCAUUAGUUUUACCUAUGUGAAAACAAUGCCAAAAUGCAUGAUAAUGAUGUGUUCUUUAAACAGCAUAAUACUGAUACUCUUUGUAAGUGUUGUACAAAAAUAUGAGAGGGUUUUGUGUUGAUCAGUGUCUCCCACCCUUAUGUGACCUAUUAAGAAAAAUGAUGCCAAACCUUUCUCUAACUGCUAUUUUCGAUGACAUGAAAGAGUCUGUAGAGGACAAACUGAGCAGUCUAAAUCCCGAAUCACUCCUUCAGUGAUUAUGCUAGAGAUGGUGCUUAAGAUGGAUAUAUCUGUGUCAGAUGCUGUAAAUUGUGGGUGUGUGUACUGAGUCAUAUUGUGAAAGUAGUAAGUAUGACAAAGUUGCAUUUUAAAUCUGGAUAACAGGAAGUGAAAUAUUCAAUGUAAAGUACUGUUGUCUUACACAUGGUUGCAGAUUCCUCUCAGCAUUAGAUGGAAAGUUACUUAGCUAGCUUCCAGGUAGCACAAAUACUAGAUUUAGUUAACAAGUAGAAGAGUCAAAUAGCAUAUAGCCUACAAUGAUCAAAAUAUUGUAAUGUAGAUAGAUACCUCAAUGACCGGAAUGCAAAAGUAUAUUUUUUAGGUUACACCUACAGAUAUGCAAGCCAUAAUAUGUAUUACAUUAGUUAUUUAGAAGCAAUAAUAUUAUGCAUGUAGUGCCAGAAUGCUGUAUUGUGGAAUGAAAAACUGUAGCAUAUGUGUAGGUGUGGUGAGUUUUAAGGUCUGUUACAUUCUGCAUAACAAUUCUUAAUGUUUAUUGAUAGGAGAUAUUGAAGCUUCCCAUGCUGGGAAGCCUAACAUCAGCUGUUGAUUAAACCAACUAUUUUCAUCAGUCAUUAAAACCAAAAACAUUUGUGAAUGUAGUACUGAAACCUAGUAUUUUUGACAUUAAGAACCUUUAUGGUGGAAAAGUAGUUGGGAAUGCUAAUGUAUAAUUAUGCACUUGCAUGUUUGUUGUUAAAACCAUACAGCAGCAUAAACUGAAUUCAGACGCACAGAAAUUGCAUAUGCAGUCAGUUGUAAUGGAAAGCAAUAGGAGCAGUGUAUUGGCUAGCUGUUGAUGACACUCAGAUUGUAUCUUCAUAAGUCAUAGAUGCCAAUGUUUGUUUCAGACACCACAGCAAGCUUAUCAGUGGCCAUCAUGUACAAUAGUUAAUUGUAAGCUUAGUAUUUUUUGGUGUUUCUAUAUGGGAAUGCAGGAAAAAAUAGCUGCUGCAUGGUAGAAGUGGGUAAGAAAUGUGUUGUGCUGCAUGCAUGCAAUAAUUGGGCUUUGCUUGGAAAAACAAUACAGAAAUGUGACAAAUUCAAGUAAUUUCUUUUUUCCUCAGAGGUGCAGGCCCAUCAGUUUUUAAAGAUUUUUGCUUUUUUGUUGAAUAAACCAUAUAGAUCCCACUGUGACCAGUAAGAUUUUGGAUGUCAUCAGUAAAUCUGAUACAAUUUUUCAUUUAAUGCUUUUCUAAACAUUUACUGUUGUUUUAAUGUUUACUUCUGAUUCAUCUGUAUUCUAGAGAGACAGAAAUGCAUUAACUGCAUGAUCUAUGAUGAGGUGAAAUUAGAAAUGCCAGACUAGUAAGCUGUAUUAAUACUAUGAGCAGAUGACAUUACAGUAGGCAAACCACAUUACACUGAAUGAGUAGAAUGCAUAGGAAUAUGGUAAGCAUACAACUUAAAUUUGAUGUAUAUAAAAGAUAAUGAAAUGUCAUUUCUGGGUCAAAUCAAAUCAGCUGUUACAAUUUGACCAUCACAUUGUGUAUAAAAUCAUUACUUAAUAUAUCUUAAGUUAAUGUUUCUUGAACCUGUUGUAAGUUGCAUUGCCACCUUUGGCACAGAGUGGGAAUACUGUAUGUUUGGUUAAAUCUAUGCACUACAAAUGCGCUGAGCAUGCUAAGAUGAACCUCUUUUUGAUUUUGUACAACAAAAAAAAAAAAAAUGUAUUGGAAAUUUAGCAAUAAAAACAGCAUGGUGCCAAUCCCACAUCAA